rnacentral:lncRNA from 1 species
AUGGGAUCCCUGAGCUCAGUCCACCCUGUGAGCUGGACACAGUCAAGGCCCCUUUGUGUGGCUGUGGGCAGCGUGCGCGCCGCACAUCGCCCCUUGAGUCAGCAGCAGCAGGCGGACGCAGCGUGGGUGCCCCCUCCUGCACAGCCCUGUGUCUCACGGAGCAGCGUGGGUGCCCCUCCUGCACAGCCCUGCGUGUCCACGGAGCAGCGUGGGUGCCCCCCUGCACAGCCCUGUGUCUCAUGGAGCAGCGUGGGUGCCCCCCUGCACAGCCCUGUGUCUCAUGGAGCAGCGUGGGUGCCCUCCUGCACAGCCCUGUGUCUCACGGAGCAGCGUGGGUGCCCCCCUGCACAGCCCUGUGUCUCAUGGAGCAGCGUGGGUGCCCCCCUGCACAGCCCUGCGUGUCCACAGAGCAGCGUGGGUGCCCUCCUGCACAGCCCUGUGUCUCAUGGAGCAGUGUGGGUGCCCUCCUGCACAGCCCUGUGUCUCAUGGAGCAGUGUGGGUGCCCCCCUGCACAGUCCUGUGUCUCAUGGAGCAGCGUGGGUGCCCCCCUGCACAGCCCUGCAUGUCCACAGAGCAGCGUGGGUGCCCCCCUGCACAGCCCUGCGUGUCCACAGAGCAGCAUGGGUGCCCCCCUGCACAGCCCUGCGUCUCAUGGAGCAGUGUGGGUGCCCCCCUGCACAGCCCUAUGUCUCAUGGAGCAGCGUGGGUGCCCCCCUGCACAGCCCUGCGUGUCCACAGAGCAGCGUGGGUGCCCCCCUGCACAGCCCUGCGUGUCCACAGAGCAGCGUGGGUGCCCCUCCUGCACAGCCCUAAUUGUCCACAGAGCAGUGUGGGUGCCCCCUGCACAGCCCUGUGUCUCAUGGAGCAGCGUGGGUGCCCUCCUGCACAGCCCUGUGUCUCAUGGAGCAGUGUGGGUGCCCCCCUGCACAGCCCUGUGUCUCAUGGAGCAGCGUGGGUGCCCCCCUGCACAGCCCUGCGUGUCACGGAGCAGUGUGGGUGCCCCCCUGCACAGCCCUGUGUCUCACGGAGCAGCGUGGGUGCCCUCCUGCACAGCCCUGCGUGUCCACGGAGCAGCGUGGGUGCCCUCCUGCACAGCCCUGCGUGUCACGGAGCAGUGUGGGUGCCCCCCUGCACAGCCCUGCGUGUCACGGAGCAGUGUGGGUGCCCCCCUGCACAGCCCUGUGUCUCAUGGAGCAGCGUGGGUGCCCCCCUGCACAGCCCUGUGUCUCAUGGAGCAGUGUGGGUGCCCCCUGCACAGCCCUGUGUCUCACGGAGCAGCGUGGGUGCCCUCCUGGUUUUGCAGGAGAGCUGAAGCAGGUGACAAGCGAGCUCCGUUUGAGGCUGCUUAG